CCUACGGGAGGCAGCAGUGGGGAAUUUUGGACAAUGGGCGCAAGCCUGAUCCAGCAAUGCCGCGUGAGUGAAGAAGGCCUUCGGGUUGUAAAGCUCUUUUGUCAGGGAAGAAACGGUCUACUCUAAUACAGUGGGCUAAUGACGGUACCUGAAGAAUAAGCACCGGCUAACUACGUGCCAGCAGCCGCGGUAAUACGUAGGGUGCAAGCGUUAAUCGGAAUUACUGGGCGUAAAGCGUGCGCAGGCGGUUAUAUAAGUCAGAUGUGAAAUCCCCGGGCUCAACCUGGGAACUGCAUUUGAGACUGUAUGGCUAGAGUGUGUCAGAGGGGGGUAGAAUUCCACGUGUAGCAGUGAAAUGCGUAGAUAUGUGGAGGAAUACCGAUGGCGAAGGCAGCCCCCUGGGAUAACACUGACGCUCGUGCACGAAAGCGUGGGGAGCAAACAGGAUUAGAUACCCUGGUAGUCCACGCCCUAAACGAUGUCUACUAGUUGUCGGGACUUAAUUGUCUUGGUAACGCAGCUAACGCGUGAAGUAGACCGCCUGGGGAGUACGGGUCGCAAGAUUAAAACCGUUAAAGGAAAUUGACGG
rnacentral:rRNA from 1 species